rnacentral:rRNA from 1 species
GAUGAACGCUGGCGGCGUGCCUAAUACAUGCAAGUCGAGCGAACGGACGAGAAGCUUGCUUCUCUGAUGUUAGCGGCGGACGGGUGAGUAACACGUGGAUAACCUACCUAUAAGACUGGGAUAACUUGGGGAACCCGGGGCUAAACCCGGUUAAUCUUUUGAACCGAUUGGUUCAAAAUGAAAAAAGGGCUUUGCUUCACCUUAUGAUUGGAUCGCGCUGGAUUAGGUAGGUUGGUAGCUAACGGGUUUACAAGGCAAAGAGGCAUAGCCGACCUGAGAGGGUGAUCGGCCACACUGGAACUGAGACACGGUCCAGACUCCUAAGGGAGGCAGCAGUAGGGAAUCUUCCGCAAUGGGCGAAAGCCUGACGGAGCAACGCCGCGUGAGUGAUGAAGGUCUGCGGAUCGUAAAACUCUGUUAUUAGGGAAGAACAUAUGUGUAAGUAACUGUGCACAUCUUGACGGUACCUAAUCAGAAAGCCACGGCUAACUACGU